UGCGUAGGCGGAAUAUUAAGUCAGUGGUGAAAUCCUGCGGCUCAACCGUAGAACUGCCAUUGAUACUGAUAUUCUUGAAUGUAGUUGAGGUAGGCGGAAUGUGUAAUGUAGCGGUGAAAUGCUUAGAUAUUACACAGAACACCGAUUGCGAAGGCAGCUUACUAAACUAUGAUUGACGCUGAGACACGAAAGCGUGGGGAGCGAACAGGAUUAGAUACCCUGGUAGUCC
rnacentral:rRNA from 1 species